rnacentral:rRNA from 1 species
ACGGGAGGCAGCAGUGGGGGAUAUUGCACAAUGGGGGAAACCCUGAUGCAGCGACGCCGCGUGAGUGAAGAAGUAUUUCGGUAUGUAAAGCUCUAUCAGCAGGAAAGAUAAUGACGGUACCUGACUAAGAAGCACCGGCUAAAUACGUGCCAGCAGCCGCGGUAAUACGUAUGGUGCAAGCGUUAUCCGGAUUUACUGGGUGUAAAGGGAGCGCAGACGGCAUGGCAAGCCAGAUGUGAAAUGCGGGGGCUCAACUCCUGAACUGCAUUUGGAACUGUCAAGCUAGAGUAUCGGAGAGGUAAGUGGAAUUCCUAGUGUAGCGGUGAAAUACGUAGAUAUUAGGAGGAACACCAGUGGCGAAGGCGGCUUACUGGACGAUAACUGACGUUGAGGCUCGAAAGCGUGGGGAGCAAACAGGAUUAGAUACCCUGGUA